CACCAUUAUGACUCCGUGCAGCUAGCUUCUACUGGACACGUUUGGGAAAUAGUCUUCAGUCAUCCACUCGAGCUAGUGGAACCAUAAUUAAUAUGACAGUCUUAUAUGUACCCAAGAAAGGGGGAAAACGAGCUACAUUUCUUAAAGAAGCUGCUUAGGCGACGGCUCCAUGAAACACCAUAAUGGUGUGGUAGAGAGGACAAUCUCCUCUGACGAGAUGCCCAGAUCACUACUGCCUGUGUAACAUGGGAUUCCGGCUGAACUUCUCUCUCAUUUACAAAAUGCCACGGUUGACAGGAAAAGAAGGCUGGAUCUUUACGUGUCACUCAUCAGAAAAACCCCCCACUAAAUGGCUGUUUGUUGAACCUGUUUGGAUUCUGGCUGCCUGUGAACACGGAGGGUUGAAAAGUCAAGAAGGAAAGAGAGUUCGGUAGGAAGACGUGGACCAUUUUCACUGUGCACGCAUGCGCCUUCGUCUGUGUAGGCUGUCCUGCUGGAAACCACUUCCUUCCACUUUAUAGAUAUCCCGAGGUUUUGCCAACAGAAAGUACCAACGACUUAUAGCCUAUUGAGCAGAGACUGAUAUAUGGGAAGUGAUUUGUGAAACACUGCUCUGAGGCCAAUCCCUAGAGACAUGAUGCUGUCUCUUCAUGGAAACAGGACUCAAAAGGAAAAAUGAACUCUCAUUCUUCCAGUGGUCAGCUCCUGCGGCCAGUCCCCAGAGAGGGCAGGAUCAGAGGGCAGAUGCUGCUUUCGACUACAUUUAUAAACUUAGAUGGUUAAUUCUUUAUGUCUUACGUAUUAAGAGGACAUAUUGCAACAUUUACUUUUCCCCCUUGGGAUUUUUGUCUUCAUCAAAGAACUGAAAAUAUGACGUGUUGAAAUAAAACCUGGGCUAGAAGGAUUUCCGCCUAUCCCCUGACAUUUCUCCGUAAAGUAUUAAUGAUUCUUCUAUUUUUCUAAAUUACAGUGAUGGAUGCAUCUUAGCAAAGUGAAAAUUGAAUAUAAAAUGUUGUGAUGAAUUAUAAAUAUAGACAUAUUUCAUUCUCUCAUCUCAAUACUUUGCAUUAAAUAUGAGUGUUGCAUUUCUUUCAAGUGAUGGAGUUAAUUUUAUCUGAGAAAGUAAUAAAGCGAUCAUUCAUUUUUGAAAA